rnacentral:lncRNA from 1 species
CUGAGUGGCCCCAGGCCUGGGAAUCUGCAAAAGUGGCCAAGCCACAUCUCUCGAGACUGCAAGGGCCCUGGAGGCGCUGGGAGGCACAGAUCUGGCUGCCAGCUGGGCCUGAGGCCUCCCUUUGUCCGUCCUUCUUGUCCUUCCUCACCAGGCGUGUUUAUGGAGAAGACACUCCGGGCCAGGUCAGCUCCUCCAGAGCACUAUUUCAGGCUGGGGAGAAUGCGGAUUUUUUUUCUUGUUUUUUAAAGAAAAAUGAACAAGGAGCCUGGUUGGGGAUUGGGGUGGGAGGAAUAUUUGUCUUUUGUCCCACAAACGUGUGUGAUGCUCCAAAGGGCUGGAGAACCUCUCUCUUAAGUGGAUAUUUUUCCCCUCAAACGACUUCUCCGACAUGAUCCUCUCUGAGGUUGGUCCCGGGCUUCCAUACGUGAUUCAUGGAAGAGGUCUCAGCCCCAAGAGCCCCUGAGGGUACUGUCCACUCCCCCUGGAAACUUCCAGAACCUGACGUGGGGCUGAAGACAUAGAGGCUCUGAGAGUUACAUAAUUGAUUCUGACUUUGGCUGUUGGUCAACAGUGUCAUAAGGUAAAAUAAGGUAAAAAUCUAUGAUUUUUAUAUUUCUUUUCUUUCUUUCUUUCUUUUUCUUUUCUUUUCUUUUCUUUUUUUUUUUUUUUUUUUUUUUUGAGACACAGUCUCGCUCUGUCACCAGGGUGGAGUGCAGUGGCGCAGUGGUGCGAUCUUGGCUCACUGCAACCUCCGCCUCCCGCGUUCAAGCGAUUCUCCUGCCUCAGCCUCCUGAGUAGCUGGGACUACAGGUGCGCACCAUCAUGCCCAGCUAAUUUUUGUAUUUUUAGUAGAGACGGGAUUUCACCAUGUUGGCCAGGGUGGUGGUCUCGAUCUCCUGAACUUGUGAUCCGCCCACCUCGGCCUCCCAAAG